CAAAAGCGUAUAUUAAAGUUGUUGCAGCUAAAAAGCUCGUAGUUGAACCUUGGGCUUGGCUGGCCGGUCCAUCUUUUUUGAUGCGUACUGGACCCAGCCGAGCCUUUCCUUCUGGCUAGCCUUUUGGCGAACCAGGACUUUUACUUUGAAAAAAUUAGAGUGUUCAAAGCAGGCCUUUGCUCGAAUAUAUUAGCAUGGAAUAAUAGAAUAGGACGUUAUGGUUCUAUUUUGUUGGUUUCUAGGACCAUCGUAAUGAUUAAUAGGGACGGUCGGGGGUAUCAGUAUUCAGUUGUCAGAGGUGAAAUUCUUGGAUUUACUGAAGACUAACUACUGCGAAAGCAUUUACCAAGGACGUUUUCAUUAA
rnacentral:rRNA from 1 species